ACUGCUGGUUCCGACUCCGAAAUAAUGUAGCAGAAGCCUGGCUGAUGAACAGAGCUGGAGCACUGACUUUUGCGGGGUUUUGAUUGAGUUUUGCUGAGCUCUAGAGAUUGUUGCUGAUUCCUGCCGGGUUUCAGUCCAAUCAGUGAAUGCUGAAUUUGGAGCACCCCUAUUUAUCAUAUCCCCCAAACUAUAACUAACUCGUUUUCGUGUUUCUCGCUCCCCUUUCUUUCAGUCUCACGCGUGUCUCCGGAACGUAGGCAUAAAGGACAUUUCCAACACUAUAGGUGGUGAGUAACCCCCCCCCGGAAGUACCCAUAGAUAUCAAUGCACUUGAACUGCAACUCCCAGCACCCUAUGUGAUUGUGAGAAGGGGUAAGACUGUAUGUGAGUGUUUAUGUGAGUGCUCUGUGUCCCCAGGAUUUGGCUGGAGCAGGACCCCGCCAUUGCUAAAACGCCUUUUGUUCAAGAAGUUUCCUCACCCCAAUGGCCUCCCCAAUCAGGAUUUAGGAAUCGGAGGAGCUAUAGACCAAUCAGGGAAAGAUCCGGUUCCUGAUUCCGAAACAGCCAAGAACCAGCAGCCUUUGGAUUGGAGGAACGGAGAUUUGGGCCGUGCUACAGUUUUGCUCUAUGAUCCCAUUAGCUGCUCCAAAAAGCAAAUGGUUUGGCCUUUUCCAUCCCAGCGAAGCCCACAGAGACCCCAAGGUUCCUGAUUUCCCAGGCUUUGAUGCUUCCCUGGGGCAUCGAGGGAUCAAUCCUCUCCUAAGCACUAAAGAGAAACUCGUGUGUAGUUCAGCCCCAACGAGCAACAUGGAGCGUGACGGGAGAGGUAACCGCGUGGAAGCGAUGGAGCCACUGUCCCUCCCUGCUAUACCCACCAAUAGGGGAACAGUAUUCAGUGGCUUAUCUGAGCCAAACCUGCUGCAGCCCAAAAUCAACGUCCAGUAACGGUAUUUCCCUAUAGCCCCACAUUCAUACCCCACAUCGCACCACUAACAGAUAGAUUACUAGUUGGCAGAAUGGGUGCAUGGGUGUGGGAUAAAUGGUUAGUUGGAGGGGUACCUGGAUAAAGGAAUUCAUAGUGGGUUAAACUCUGGGCAUGCAUUAGGUGAUGGAUAGUUGGUUGGAGAUACUGUAGUUGGAUGGACAGAUGACAGAAUGUGUGCAUGGAUGAUGAAUGUAUAAUUGUUUGGAUGAGUACAUGGAUGAUAGAUGGGUGGGUGCAUGGAUGAUUAGUUGGUAGGAAUGGUGAUAGGAUAACUGGUUAGUUGAAGGGUUGCAUAGUUAAUAGUUGGUUAGACACCAACAACAAGUAUCAGAUGAUGGAGGAGUGCUUGGAUGAUUGGUUGGAUGUCCUUGUGAAUGAUUUGUUGGAUAUUUGGUUAGAUAGGUGAAUGGAUGAAGAGUGGAUAGUAGGAUGGGAAGAUGAUUGGAUGAAGGAGUGGAUAGUUGAUUUGAUGGUGGAUAGUAGGAUGGGAGAUGAUUGGAUGAAGGAGUUGAUAGUUGGUUUAAUAGGUGCAUGGAUGAAGAUUGCAUAGCAGAAUGGAGAGAUGAUUGAAUGAAAAGGAGUGUAUAGUUGGUUUGAUGAGUGCAUGGAUGAAGAUUGGAUGGUAGGAUGGAGAGAUGCGUGGACAAUGGAGAGGAUAUUUUAAUUGUGCAUGGAUGAUGGAUGGAUAUAUGUUUGGAUGAAGGGAGGAUAGCUGGUUGUAUAUGUGCAUUGAUGAUUACUUGUAUAGUUGUUUGGAAGAGUGCAAGAAACAUAUGGAUAGCUAGUUUGAUGGAUAAAAGAUGCCUAAUAGAAUGUGAAGAUGAUUGUAUGAAGGGGCUUCUAGUUGAAUGGGUGUAUGAAUGAAGGGUGGAUAGUUAGUUGGAGAGAUGAUUGGAUGAUAGUUGAAUGGGUGCAUGUCUAACAGGGCAGGUAGUUGGAUGGGAUGAGGGUUUGAGGGUUGCAUGCUUAGAAGGGUUGGUUGCCAUGAAUGGGCUGCAGGAUGAAUGAUUUGGUAUGUUGCAGAGUGGACUGCUGAUUGGUUGGAUACUUUACUAAAUGGAGAGGUUUCCAUAGAAACAACAGAUACAAUACAAGGUAUUACAAGAAAGUUCUGUAGGAUAUCUGUGCUUAGUCCCUUAUGUGGCUACACCAGCACCAACAGCACUUCUGCUCCUCCUCACAGACCAAAACUGACUAUUCUGCCUAAAAUGAUGUUUCACUCUGACACUUCAAAGUCUUCCAGUAGCCCCGCCCUCCCUGCUA